GUGCUUGUUUUGGCAGCAUGUAUACUAAAAUUGGAAUGCUAUAGAAGAUCAGCAUGGUCCCUGCACAAGGAUGACAUGCAAAUUCAUGAAGUGCUCCAUAUUUUU
ensembl:snRNA U6 U6 spliceosomal RNA